CAAUAGUCACAUAUGGAAGGGAUUGAGACAUACUUGAAGAGACCACAAAGCCUAGGGAUUCUAGUGCCAGCAGAAGAGGCUAAGCAACUCAAAGAUACGUUGACUUUGAUUGGGGUUCAUGUCUGUAGUCUAGAAAAUUUGUUACAAGCUAUCUUUUGAAGGUUGGUGAAGCUCUAGUAUCCUGAAAGUCAAAAACAGCGGGAAACUACGGUAAGAUGUUUAGCAGAAGCUGAGUUUAAGAGCAUGGCAUCAUGUGUAGUUGAAGUUACAUGUCUAUUAGGUCUGUUUAAGAAGCUUGGAGUUGAAUUACAUCAGCCUAUUGAUAUGUUCUGUGACAACAAAGUUGCAAACCAAAUAGUAGCUAAUCCUAUAUUUCAUGAAAGGACUAAACACACAUAUAUAGACUAUUAUUUUGUGAGAAAAACUGAGCUAAGGGAUAAUUACGACACACCAUAAAUCAAUAAGGGACGGAUUGUCAUAUCUAUUA
rnacentral:lncRNA from 1 species